rnacentral:rRNA from 1 species
CCUACGGGCGGCAGCAGUGGGGGAUAUUGCACAAUGGGGGGAACCCUGAUGCAGCGACGCCGCGUGGGUGAAGGAGCGUUUCGGCGCGUAAAGCCCUAUCGGCGGGGAAGAAGGAGGACGGUACCUGACUAAGAAGCCCCGGCUAACUACGGGACAGCAGCCGCGGUAAUACGUAGGGGGCAAGCGUUAGCCGGAUUGACUGGGGGUAAAGGGGGCGCAGACGGCAGCGCAAGCCAGGAGGGAAAGCCCGGGGCCCAACGCCGGGACUGCUCUUGGGACUGCGCGGCUGGAGUGCAGGAGGGGCAGGCGGAAUUCCUGGUGUAGCGGGGAAUGGCGUAGAUAUCAGGAGGAACACCGGUGGCGAAGGCGGCCUGCUGGACUGCGACUGACGUUGAGGCCCGAAAGCGUGGGGAGCAAACAGGAUUAGAUACCCUAGUAGUC